rnacentral:rRNA from 1 species
CGGCACGGGUGAGUAACACGUAUCCAACCUGCCGUCUACUCUUGGACAGCCUUCUGAAAGGAAGAUUAAUACAAGAUGGCAUCAUGAGUCCGCAUGUUCACAUGAUUAAAGGUAUUCCGGUAAACGAUGGGGAUGCGUUCCAUUAGAUAGUAGGCGGGGUAACGGCCCACCUAGUCUUCGAUGGAUAGGGGUUCUGAGAGGAAGGUCCCCCACAUUGGAACUGAGACACGGUCCAA